GAUGAACGCUGGCGGCGUGCCUAAUACAUGCAAGUCGAGCGAACGGACGAGAAGCUUGCUUCUCUGAUGUUAGCGGCGGGGGGGUGAGUAACACGUGGAUAACCUCCCUAUAAGACUGGGAUAACUUCGGGAAACCGUAGCUAAUACCGGAUAAUCUUUUGAACCGCAUGGUUCAAUAGUGAAAGACGGUCUUGCUGUCACUUAUAGAUGGAUCCGCGCUGCAUUAGCUAGUUGGUAAGGUAACGGCUUACCAAGGCAACGAUGCAUAGCCGACCGGAGAGGGGGAUCGGCGACACGAGAACUGAGACGCGGUCCAGACUCCUACGGGAGGCAGCAGUAGGGAAUCUGCCGUAGUGGGCGAAAGUCUUACGGAGCAACGCGACGUGAGUGAUGAAGGUCUCCGGUGCGUAAAGCUCUGUUAUGGGGGAAAAACAUAUUUGGAAGGAACUGUGGACAUCUUGACGGUACCGAAUCAGAAAGCCACGGCUAACUACGUG
rnacentral:rRNA from 1 species